rnacentral:rRNA from 1 species
CAGCAGCCGCGUAAAACAGAGGGUGCGAGCGUUAAUCGGAUUUACUGGGCGUAAAGCGUGCGUAGGCGGCUUUUUAAGUCGGAUGUGAAAUCCCUGAGCUUAACUUAGGAAUUGCAUUCGAUACUGGGAAGCUAGAGUAUGGGAGAGGAUGGUAGAAUUCCAGGUGUAGCGGUGAAAUGCGUAGAGAUCUGGAGGAAUACCGAUGGCGAAGGCAGCCAUCUGGCCUAAUACUGACGCUGAGGUACGAAAGCAUGGGGAGCAAACAGGAUUAGAUACCCGUGUAGUCCCUGUCUCUUAUACA